UACAGAGGGGGCAAGCGUUAUUCGGAAUUAUUGGGCGUAAAGGGCGCGUAGGCGGCAUGGCAGGUGGAAGGUGAAAUCCCUCGGCUUAACCGAGGAACUGCCCUCCAAACUGCUUUGCUUGAGGCCGGGAGAGGUGAGUGGAAUUCCCAGUGUAGCGGUGAAAUGCGUAGAUAUUGGGAGGAACACCGGUGGCGAAGGCGGAUCUCUGGGCCAUUACUGACGCUGAGGAGCGAAAGCGUGGGGAGCGAACAGG
rnacentral:rRNA from 1 species